UACGUAGGGGGCAAGCGUUGUCCGGAAUCAUUGGGCGUAAAGAGCGCGUAGGCGGCCCAGUAAGUCCGCUCUGAAAGUCAGAGGCUCAACCUCUGGAUGCGGGUGGAUACUGCUGGGCUAGAGUCCGGAAGAGGCGAGUGGAACUCCUGGUGUAGCGGUGGAAUGCGCAGAUAUCAGGAAGAACACCGACGGCGAAGGCAGCUCGCUGGGACGGUACUGACGCUGAGGCGCGAAAGCGUGGGGAGCAAACAGG
rnacentral:rRNA from 1 species